rnacentral:rRNA from 1 species
AUUGAACGCUGGCGGAAUGCUUUACACAUGCAAGUCGAACGGCAGCACGGACUUCGGUCUGGUGGCGAGUGGCGAACGGGUGAGUAAUGUAUCGGAACGUGCCCAGUCGUGGGGGAUAACGUAGUGAAAAUUACGCUAAUACCGCAUACGAUCUAUGGAUGAAAGCGGGGGAUCGCAAGACCUCGCGCGAUUGGAGCGGCCGAUAUCAGAUUAGGUAGUUGGUGGGGUAAAGGCCCACCAAGCCAACGAUCUGUAGCUGGUCUGAGAGGACGACCAGCCACACGUGAACUGAGACACGGUCGAGACUCCUACGGGAGGCAGCAGUGGGGAAUUUUGGACAAUGGGCGAAAGCAUGAUCCAGCCAUUCCGCGUGCAGGAUGAAGGCCCUCGGGUUGUAAGCUGCUUUUGUACAGAACGAAAAGGUUGCUACUAAUACUAGGAGCUCAUGACGGUACUGUAAGAAUAAGCACCGGCUAACUACGUGCCAGCCGCCGCAGUAA